rnacentral:ncRNA from 1 species
ACAACUGCUGUGAUGAGGAAUAUUAGCUCAGGUCAGCCAUACAGAGAGCCGGCGGAUGGUGCAAGCCGGUUGGAGACCCCUGCGAACUCGCCUCGGAGCCGGGAUGCAAAUUUGGAGGACAUUGUCUGGCGUUUUAGGUUACGCCGUUUCUGUCUAUUGUCCGCGCCAUCAGGAACAUCUCCGUUUCGCCCGCGUUAAGGGUUAAAGUGAGCUCAAGGCAAAGCAUGCCCGAAGCUAACUAGGGUGGUACCACGGGAAUCAAACUCUCGUCCCUAGC